GCAUACUUACUGUAACGAGAUUUCCAAAACCAACUUAUAGAGUCAAGAACAUAAACAAUAUCAUAAUCUCAUAUGCAAUCAGUCAGAACAGCAACCUUCUCUUUUAUUAGUCUACUGAUAUCCAUUGGGGUCUAUAGGGAUAUCCCCACUACACAUGAAUCUUUAUUCAACAUUUUCAAAUAACGGGCCGUCCCCAUACCCCAUCCGGUAUGAGCGCCAAAUUACCAAUCCUCGAUACUCCGUCCGGUAUAAAACAACGUUCACGGUAGGGUUCCCUAUAUACCUGGUCCGUCCAUUAUCUUUCAGGAUAUCGAGUA
rnacentral:lncRNA from 1 species